GAUGAACGCUGGCGGCGUGCCUAAUACAUGCAAGUCGAGCGAACAGACGAGGAGCUUGCUCCUCUGACGUUAGCGGCGGACGGGUGAGUAACACGUGGAUAACCUACCUAUAAGACUGGGAUAACUUCGGGAAACCGGAUCUAAUACCGGAUAAUAUAUUGAACCGCAUGGUUCAAUAGUGAAAGACGGUUUUGCUGUCACUUAUAGAUGGAUCCGCGCCGCAUUAGCUAGUUGGUAAGGUAACGGCUUACCAAGGCGACGAUGCGUAGCCGACCGGAGAGGGUGAUCGGCCACACUGGAACUGAGACACGGUCCAGACUCCUACGGGGGGCAGCAGUAGGGAAUCUUCCGCAAUGGGCGAAAGCCUGACGGAGCAACGCCGCGUGAGUGAUGAAGGUCUUCGGAUCGUAAAACUCUUUUAUUAGGGAAGAACAAUUGUGUAAUUAACUAUGCACGUCUUGACGGUACCUAAUCAGAAAGCCACGGCUAACUACGUG
rnacentral:rRNA from 1 species